rnacentral:hammerhead_ribozyme from 1 species
AUUCAGUUGACGAGUCUCAAAUCAGACAAAGCGCGCGUCCUGGAU